rnacentral:rRNA from 1 species
UACGGAGGGAGCUAGCGUUGUUCGGAAUUACUGGGCGUAAAGCGCACGUAGGCGGCUUAGAAAGUUGGAUGUGAAAUCCCUCGGCUCAACCAAGGAAGUGCAUCCAAAACUGCUGAGCUUGAGUACUUAAGAGGAUCGCGGAAUUCCCGGUGUAGCGGUGAAAUGCGUUGAUAUCAUUAGGAACUCCGGUGGCGAAGGCGGCUCGCUGGAUCUUUUCUGACGCUGAGGCGCGAAAGCUAGGGGAGCAAACGGG